GCUACCGCUAUUGGAAUCCGAUUAAGCCAUGCGAGUCGAGAGAUUUCGGAUCUCGGCAGACGUCUCAGUAACACGUGGAUAAUCUGCCCUUGAGUGGGGGAUAAGCUUGGAAACCUGAGUAUAAUACCCCAUAGGUCUAGGAUGCUGGAAUGCUUCUAGGCUGAAAGCUCCGGCGCUCAAGGAUGAGUCUGCGACCUAUCAGGCUGUAGUGGGUGUAACGGACCCACUAACCUUCGACGGGUACGGGCCUUGAGAGAGGUUGCCCGGAGUUGGACUCUGAGACACGAGUCCAGGCCCUACGGGGUGCAGCAGGCGCGAAAACUUCACAAUGUGGGAAACCACGAUGAGGGGAUUCCAAGUGCCAACACACUGUGUUGGCUGUUCGUCUGCCUAAAAAGCUGGUGAAGUAAGGGCCGGGUAAGACGGGUGCCAGCCGCCGCGGUAAUACCCGCGGCCCGAGUGGUGGCCGUUAUUAUUGAGCCUAAAGCGUCCGUAGCCGGUUUAGUAAAUCUCUGGGUAAAUCGGGCGGCUUAACCGUCCGAAUUCCGGAAAGACUGCUAAACUUGGGACCGGGGGAGGUUGGAGGUACUCCUGGGGUAGGGGUGAAAUCCUGUAAUCCUGGGGGGACCACCAGUGGCGAAGGCGUCCAACCAAAACGGCUCCGACGGUAAGGGACGAAGCCUUGGGGCGCAAACGGGAUUAGAUACCCCGGUAGUCCAAGGUGUAAACGCUGCAGGUUUGGUGUUGGGGGUCCCACGAGGGCGCCCAGUGCCGGAGAGAAGUUGUUAAACCUGCCGCUUGGGGAGUACGUCCGCAAGGAUGAAACUUAA
rnacentral:rRNA from 1 species